rnacentral:rRNA from 1 species
UACGUAGGGUGCGAGCGUUGUCCGGAAUUAUUGGGCGUAAAGAGCUCGUAGGCGGUUUGUCGCGUCGGCCGUGAAAUCUCCACGCUUAACGUGGAGCGUGCGGUCGAUACGGGCAGACUUGAGUUCGGUAGGGGAGACUGGAAUUCCUGGUGUAGCGGUGAAAUGCGCAGAUAUCAGGAGGAACACCGGUGGCGAAGGCGGCACUCUGGGCCGGUACUGACGCUGAGGAGCGAAAGCGUGGGGAGCGAACAGG